rnacentral:rRNA from 1 species
CAGUAGCCACGGUAAUACGUAGGUCCCGAGCGUUGUCCGGAUUUAUUGGGCGUAAAGCGAGCGCAGGCGGUUAGAUAAGUCUGAAGUUAAAGGCUGUGGCUUAACCAUAGUACGCUUUGGAAACUGUUUAACUUGAGUGCAAGAGGGGAGAGUGGAAUUCCAUGUGUAGCGGUGAAAUGCGUAGAUAUAUGGAGGAACACCGGUGGCGAAAGCGGCUCUCUGGCUUGUAACUGACGCUGAGGCUCGAAAGCGUGGGGAGCAAACAGGAUUAGAUACCCGCGUAGUCCCUGUCUCUUAUACA